rnacentral:rRNA from 1 species
UACGGGAGGCAGCAGUGGGGAAUAUUGGACAAUGGGCGAAAGCCUGAUCCAGCAAUACCGCGUGUGUGAAGAAGGCCUGAGGGUUGUAAAGCACUUUCAAUUGGGAGGAAAACAGGCAGGUCA